rnacentral:rRNA from 1 species
GAGUUUUCGUAUGAUCACUGAAGUUAAGCAACGUUGAGGCUGGUCAGUGCCUGGAUGGGUGACCACUUGGGAAUACCAGGUGCUGUAAG